rnacentral:rRNA from 1 species
UCCUACGGGCGGCUGCAGUGGGGAAUUUUACGCAAUGGGCGAAAGCCUGACGUAGCGACACCGCGUGAGCGAAGAAGCCUUUUGGGGUGUAAAGCUCUGUCAGCUGGAACGAACACAAUGACGGUACCAGCAGAGGAAGCAUCGGCUAACUACGUGCCAGCAGCCGCGGUAAGACGUAGGAUGCAAGCGUUGUCCGGAUUUAUUGGGCGUAAAGAGUUCGUAGGCGGUUAGUUAAGUCUGGUGUUAAAUCCCGUGGCCCAACCACGGGGCUGCAUCAAAUACUGGCUGACUUGAGUGCGGUAGAGGCGAGUGGAAUUCCCAGUGUAGCGGUGAAAUGCGUAGAUAUUGGGAAGAACACCAGUGGCGUAAGCGACUCGCUGGGCCGUAACUGACGCUGAGGAACGAAAGCCAGGGGAGCGAAUGGGAUUAGAUACCCCUGUAGUCA